AUUGAACGCUGGCGGCAUGCUUUACACAUGCAAGUCGAACGGCAGCGCGGGCUUCGGCCUGGCUGCGAGUGGCGAACGGGUGAGUAAUGCAUCGGAACGUGCCCAGUAGUGGGGGAUAGCCCGGCGAAAGCCGGAUUAAUACCGCAUACGACCUGAGGGUGAAAGCGGGGGACCGAAAGGCCUCGCGCCAUUGGAGCGGCCGAUGUCGGAUUAGCUAGUUGGUGGGGUAAAGGCUUACCAAGGCGACGAUCCGUAGCUGGUCUGAGAGGACGACCAGCCACACUGGGACUGAGACACGGCCCAGACUCCUACGGGAGGCAGCAGUGGGGAAUUUUGGACAAUGGGGGCAACCCUGAUCCAGCCAUGCCGCGUGCGGGAAGAAGGCCUUCGGGUUGUAAACCGCUUUUGUUCGGGAAGAAAUCCUCUGGGCUAAUACCCCGGGGGGAUGACGGUACCGGAAGAAUAAGCACCGGCUAACUACGUG
rnacentral:rRNA from 1 species